rnacentral:rRNA from 1 species
UACGUAGGGGGCGAGCGUUGUCCGGAAUUAUUGGGCGUAAAGAGCUCGUAGGCGGUCUGUUACGUCCGCUGUGAAAACCCAGGGCUUAACCCUGGGCUUGCAGUGGAUACGGAUAGACUAGAGGCAGGUAGGGGAGAAUGGAAUUCCCGGUGUAGCGGUGAAAUGCGCAGAUAUCGGGAGGAACACCGGUGGCGAAGGCGGUUCUCUGGGCCUGACCUGACGCUGAGGAGCGAAAGCGUGGGGAGCGAACAGG